CUCACUUCUCUGCCUUUUGGCUAAGAUCAAGUGUAGUAUCUGUUCUUGGCAUGGGGGGGGGGGGGUGUACAUCCUAGCUAAGGGAUGUAUGAUCAGCACCUUCC
rnacentral:snRNA from 1 species